UGGUGGAUCACUCGGUUCGCUGGUCGAGGAAGAACGCAGCUAGCUGCGAUAAUCGGUGUGAAAUGCAGGACACUCCGAUCACUCGACAUUCGAACGCACAUUGCGGUCAUCGUAAUCGGUGACUUCGUUUGUCUGAGCAUCGU
rnacentral:rRNA from 1 species